rnacentral:rRNA from 1 species
UACGGGGGGGGCAAGCGUUGUUCGGAAUUACUGGGCGUAAAGGGCUCGUAGGUGGCCAACUAAGUCAGACGUGAAAUCCCUCAGCUUAACUGGGGAACUGCGUCUGAUACUGGAUGGCUUGAGUUUGGGAGAGGGAUGCGGAAUUCCAGGUGUAGCGGUGAAAUGCGUAGAUAUCUGGAGGAACACCGGUGGCGAAGGCAGCUCGCUGGGACGGUACUGACGCUGAGACGCGAAAGCGUGGGGAGCGAACAGG